rnacentral:rRNA from 1 species
AACCUGCCUGUAAGACUGGGAUAACUCCGGGAAACCGGGGCUAAUACCGGAUGGUUGUCUGAACCGCAUGGUUCAGACAUAAAAGGUGGCUUCGGCUACCACUUACAGAUGGACCCGCGGCGCAUUAGCUAGUUGGUGAGGUAACGGCUCACCAAGGCGACGAUGCGUAGCCGACCUGAGAGGGUGAUCGGCCACACUGGGACUGAGACACGGCCCAGACUCCUACGGGAGGCAGCAGUAGGGAAUCUUCCGCAAUGGACGAAAGUCUGACGGAGCAACGCCGCGUGAGUGAUGAAGGUUUUCGGAUCGUAAAGCUCUGUUGUUAGGGAAGAACAAGUGCCGUUCAAAUAGGGCGGCACCUUGACGGUACCUAACCAGAAAGCCACGGCUAACUACGUGCCAGCAGCCGCGGUAAUACGUAGGUGGCAAGCGUUGUCCGGAAUUAUUGGGCGUAAAGGGCUCGCAGGCGGUUUCUUAAGUCUGAUGUGAAAGCCCCCGGCUCAACCGGGGAGGGUCAUUGGAAACUGGGGAACUUGAGUGCAGAAGAGGAGAGUGGAAUUCCACGUGUAGCGGUGAAAUGCGUAGAGAUGUGGAGGAACACCAGUGGCGAAGGCGACUCUCUGGUCUGUAACUGACGCUGAGGAGCGAAAGCGUGGGGAGCGAACAGGAUUAGAUACCCUGGUAGUCCACGCCGUAAACGAUGAGUGCUAAGUGUUAGGGGGUUUCCGCCCCUUAGUGCUGCAGCUAACGCAUUAAGCACUCCGCCUGGGGAGUACGGUCGCAAGACUGAAACUCAAAGGAAUUGACGGGGGCCCGCACAAGCGGUGGAGCAUGUGGUUUAAUUCGAAGCAACGCGAAGAACCUUACCAGGUCUUGACAUCCUCUGACAAUCCUAGAGAUAGGACGUCCCCUUCGGGGGCAGAAUGACAGGUGGUGCAUGGUUGUCGUCAGCUCAUGUCCUGAAAUGUUGGGUUAAGUCCCGCAACGAGCCCAACCCUGGAUCUUAGUUGCCAGCAUUCAAUUGGGCACUCUAAGGUGACUGCCG